UGUUAAAACUUUUAUCAAUUUUUGCUAUUAAAAACUAGUAUAUCUGACAAAAUAACCAAACAUUGACACGUGACGUGCCACAUGUACCUCAUGCUGAGACCGAUUUUUAACAGUAGAAUAAAUGAAAUUUUUAAUA
rnacentral:pre_miRNA from 1 species